UACGAAGGGGGCUAGCGUUGUUCGGAUUUACUGGGCGUAAAGCGCGUGUAGGCGGACUUGUAAGUUGGGGGUGAAAUCCCGAGGCUCAACCUCGGAACUGCCUCCAAAACUACAAGUCUGGAGCAAGAUAGAGGCAAGUGGAAUUGCGAGUGUAGAGGUGAAAUUCGUAGAUAUCGAGAGGAACACCGGUGGCGAAGGCGGCGAUCUGGACGAUGACUGACGCUGAGACGCGAAAGCGUGGGGAGCAAACAGG
rnacentral:rRNA from 1 species